CCUACGAGAGGCAGCAGUGAGGAAUAUUGGUCAAUGGACGAGAGUCUGAACCAGCCAAGUAGCGUGAAGGAUGACUGCCCUAUGGGUUGUAAACUUCUUUUAUAUGGGAAUAAAAUGUUCCACGUGUGGGAUUUUGUAUGUACCAUAUGAAUAAGGCACGGUUAACUCCGUGCCAGCAGCCGAGGUAAUACGGAGGAUCCGAGCGUUAUCAGGAUUUCUUGGGUUUAAAGGUAGCGUAGGUGGAUUGUUAAGUCAGUUGUGAAAGUUUGCGGCGCAACCGUAAAAUUGCAGUUGAAACUGGCAGUCGUGAGUACAGUAGAGGUGGGCGGAAUUCGUGGUGUAGCGGUGAAAUGCUUAGAUAUCACGAAGAACUCCGAUUGCGAAGGCAGUUCACUGGACUGCAACUGACACUGAGGCUCGAAAGUGUGGGUAUCAAACAGGAUUAGAUACCCUUGUAGUC
rnacentral:rRNA from 1 species